CCUUGCCAUCAUAUGUCUUCCCUAAGGUGU
rnacentral:piRNA from 1 species